AUAGGAGAAUUUUUUUGGGAAAGACCAGAUAGCUUUAUAAUCGUAAUCCUAAUUCACCCAGGCUACGUUAUACAAUGAACAAGCUGAUGAAUUGAAGCCAUCUUAGUAAGAAUGAUCCCUCAAGCCCUCAGAAGCUGCUGGAAUGAAUAUUUUUUAAAGCCGCAUUAGGCGCUUUAAGGGGCAGCACUUAGAAUAUGGCCAAACGCAUCAUGCAGCAAGAAGAAACUGUUUACCGCAUAUACAUAUGUACUGAGUAUAUGCACAGGGAUGGUGGUGGAGGAGCUGAAUGCAGCAGUUUCCAGCCCUCUGCUCAGGUCACAGAAGUUGGCGAGCAGCGCCAGAGGCAGAGAAUUCGACUGCAGCAGGAGAACGUGCCAGACAAAGUGGCUGUGGUGCACAUAGCUCGGGGCCUAAGUCAGGCGGGUGGCACUGAAGUGCGGUACAGUCUUUCAUAAAUUUAUGGUAAAUUCUUAUACGAGUAUGAAGUAACUUAUAUUUUGAGAUUUCUUGAAGGAUGUUCCAAAAAGAUAUUAACCCUACGAAAAUGUUCAUGUGCUUAACGAAAACGCAGUUAGGAGGCGAAACAGGGGUUAAGAUGAGUAGAGGAGAAUGAUUGUCCGGCAUGCGCAGUUGAGGCCAUCGGAAAAAUCAAUUCAGCUAAAAGAGCGCCCGGUUCACGGAAUUGCAGGGCCACACCAACCAAAACAACGCCACCGAGAACAACAACAUCGCCAGUAAUAACAACAUUACUGCGCAACAUUUGUUGCGCCCAGGAGAAAACGGGAGGGGGGAGGCUUGCGGCCAGUCGAAGAAGCGCCGUCGCCCAAAACCACCCAUUGAACAACAACAACCUCGAAGCGCUACUGUGGAUGCGGGAGCGCUUAUGUAAUACAUGACCAAGAGAUGACUGCGCAGUAAAUGGCUGAAUAGUCGGUGAAGAGAAGCAAACCUAAAUAGCGGUGGUUUUAGGUUUAGGUUUUAUAAGAAUUUUGAUGCUUCAAACGAAACGUUCAAAUACAAAGCAAACAGCUGAAGACUAUGUUAUAAUUUACAUGAAUCCUCUAUGUCAAAAGCCCAGCGAUGCACAAUUGGUUGGUUGAAUCGUCAGCGCACAGUCUCCCAGUCAUUGUCCUGGCAAAAGUUUCUCACUGAACGUCCUUGUUUGAGGUUAUUUAUGUGUAUAUUUGGCUUCCCUAGCACAUAACAGAAGGGGAGGCUAAAAAGAAGCCCCGUAUGUACUUAGCCUGCAGGGUUUCCCGCAUUCCCUACGCAUUCACACUACCGUGUUCAUAGACUUGAAAUUUCUGUUACCCUUUUUAAGUCUUAUUUUCAAUCAUAGCCGGACGACGUUGCCCUCCCAUUUCCCAACUGACUGCAGUCAAAGUAAUUCGAACGGGAGAACAUUCACUACACGCGUCUCCCUCAGGGCGUGAAAUUUAUCAACAUCACGGAAUUGGCAGUAGGAGUAGGAAGGUCGGAAAGAAGAAGUUACAGCAGCAUGGUUGGAUAGAGUGCACCCCUGUAGCAUGCAAAAGUUGAAGGGCACGGGAAUGACAAGACGCAGGACGGUAUCACGGCAUUCUGCUAAAGGAAUUAGAUAAACAUAUUAGAACAAUUUCUCAUUCUAAAGCAUUAAGAAUAUAAAAUAUUUCGUAUCCCACAUAGAAUUAAGAAAUGUUAGAUUUAGAAAAUAGCCGUUCUUUUUGCCAAGAUUAUUUCAUGAAAUGUUAAUGUUCAAAAAAAAAAAACCAACAUUAAAACUAGAGAGAAUACUGGCAAAUAAAUUUUGGGCGUUUUGUAGGUGUAAGGAGGGGCGUGGCCAAAGUGUUUCUGGUAUACCGAUAGA